UUGAAAUCCUAACCUCCAAUGUGAUAAUAUUAGGAGGUGGGGGCCUUUGGGAAGUAAUUAGGUCAUGAGGGUGAAGACCCCAUGGAUGAGAUUAGUGCCCUUAUAAAAGACUCUCCAGAGAGCUCUCUUGCUCUCUUUCUGCCAUGUGCAGAUGCAAUGAGAAGUCAGCAGUCUACAACCUGGAAGAGGGCCCUCACCAGAACCUGACCAUGCUGCACCCUGAUCUCAGACUUCUAGAUCCGGAACUGUCUGAAAUAAAUUUGUUUUACUCGUAAGCCAUUCUGUAUGGUUUGUUACAGUAGCCCAAACAAAGACACUAAGGAUCUCUUUAUACUCUUUGAAAAUUACUGAAGACCCUAAAGAGUUUUUAUGUGGGCUAUAUAUUGUGAUGUUCACUGUAUUUGAAGUUAAAACUGAAGAAUUUAAAAAAC
rnacentral:lncRNA from 10 species